CCAGACUCCUACGGGAGGCAGCAGUGGGGAAUAUUGCACAAUGGGGGAAACCCUGAUGCAGCGACGCCGCGUGAGUGAAGAAGUAUUUCGGUAUGUAAAGCUCUAUCAGCAGGGAAGAAAUACUGACCUUACGGUCAGCAGACGGUACCUGACUAAGAAGCCCCGGCUAACUACGUGCCAGCAGCCGCGGUAAUACGUAGGGGGCAAGCGUUAUCCGGAUUUACUGGGUGUAAAGGGAGCGUAGACGGCAGCGCAAGUCUGGAGUGAAAUGCCGGGGCCCAACCCCGGAACUGCUCUGGAAACUGUGAAGCUGGAGUGCAGGAGAGGUAAGCGGAAUUCCUGGUGUAGCGGUGAAAUGCGUAGAUAUCAGGAGGAACACCGGCGGCGAAGGCGGCUUACUGGACUGUAACUGACGUUGAGGCUCGAAAGCGUGGGGAGCAAACAGGAUUAGAUACCCUGGUAUU
rnacentral:rRNA from 1 species